AUGAAGAGAAAAGCUUCAGAAGUAACAAUGGAGCAGAAAGAAGCGAAGGUGUAUAAAAACAGAAGGUAUGUGAGCUUCUCAAAGAGGCGCAGCGGCCUAUUUAGCAAGGGUAAAGACUUCUGCAAAAAGUUUGAAGCAGAAAUUGGCAUUGUUGUGCUCUCUGAAGCAGGCAGGCCUUACUGGUCCCCGGACAACCCUUCCCUCGACGCCGUCCUUGACCGCUUCAUGCAAUCAGACCAGGCACCUACUAACGCCAUUGAUUUCAAGGUUAGACUGCAGAAGAAGAGGAAGAGAGAGGAACCUGAUAAUGAGGUUCAGGGACAGCUUGCGGAGGAGGUGAAGUCAUGUCGAACAGUUAAGGACAUGUUUUCGUUGAGAGACAAAUACUUGGUGCUUCUUCAGGACCAUACUAACAAGAGGAUGAAAGGUUCACAUGUUUUUGAGUGUGAUCGUCUUAACAAGAAAAACGAUGGUGGCGACAACAACAUAUCUUUCUGGGACAAAAUUUUGGAAGAGGGUAAAUCGGAAUGUGUCUCUUUCCAACCAAUAUCAGAAUCCGAAGACUUCUUGUAUAAUCCAAGCCUAAAUUUCGAGAGUGAUAAUCGUGGGUUUGAUCAUUAUCAAGGUGACAACAAUAGUGGUGAGGAACUUUGUUGGAAUGAAGAAUGGGAACAUGGUAAGGUAGAGUGUGUCAAGACACAACCGAUAUCGAAAUCUGAGGACAUCUGGGCUAACACAACCCCAAAUUUUGAGAACAAUCAUGAUCAUGUUCAUGGUGGUAACAACAUUAAGGACGACGAGGGAUGUUUGUUGGAUUUGGACACAACAAGGGAAGUGAUUAAGGAAACUAAUCAUCCUUUGCGGGAUCCAAUUGAGCACUACUUGGUCUGGCCGGGAGAUGAUAAUACUAAUAAUUAUAAUUAUGAGGUUGAUGGUGUUUCUGCCUUGAGGGGUAUGCUUGGGUCGACAUUAGAUUUCGCACAACAAAAUCCCAAUCCUAAUCCCAACCCGAAUCCCAAUAACUAUUACAGUUCCUUAGAAAACCUUUGUAAUGAAGAUACAACUUUUGAUUAUUUAUUAUGAAGUUAGCACUAUUUAAAUUAUUUAUAAUUAUAAGUUGCUUAUUUUUUUGUAGUGUUUUUUCUUUUUUGGGGUCAGAUAUGAGAAGUAACUUCUAAUCGUUUCCCGGAAAGAAAAACUGAAGGAGAAACUUUUCAUCACAUGAUCAAUCAGAAUUGUAAUAUGUCCUAGGAAAACGUUUAAUUGAAUCAAUUGUGCUCUGCUACACACACACACACACACACACAAACAAACAAACAAACUUCGAAUCAACAUCAGGAAAUGUGGAUAGGUUAUCUUCGUCAUAAGAUCCGUAAUCACUAUAUAUAUAUGUAUAAACCAAUGUUU
rnacentral:lncRNA from 1 species